AGAGUUUGAUCCUGGCUCAGGAUGAACGCUGGCGGCGUGCCUAACACAUGCAAGUCGAGCGAAGCACUUUGCUUUGAUUCUUUCGGGAGGAGAAGUGAUUUGACUGAGCGGCGGACGGGUGAGUAACGCGUGGGUAACCUGCCUCAUACAGGGGGAUAACAGUUAGAAAUGACUGCUAAUACCGCAUAAGCGCACAGGACCGCAUGGUCCGGUGUGAAAAACUCCGGUGGUAUGAGAUGGACCCGCGUCUGAUUAGUUAGUUGGCGGGGUAACGGCCCACCAAGGCGACGAUCAGUAGCCGGCCUGAGAGGGUGAACGGCCACAUUGGGACUGAGACACGGCCCAGACUCCUACGGGAGGCAGCAGUGGGGAAUAUUGCACAAUGGGGGGAACCCUGAUGCAGCGACGCCGCGUGAGCGAUGAAGUAUUUCGGUAUGUAAAGCUCUAUCAGCAGGGAAGAAAAUGACGGUACCUGACUAAGAAGCCCCGGCUAACUACGUGCCAGCAGCCGCGGU
rnacentral:rRNA from 1 species